rnacentral:rRNA from 1 species
AUAACCGGCGAUACCCGAAUGGGGAAACCCAGUGUGAUUCGUCACACUAUCAUUAACUGAAUCCAUAGGUUAAUGAGGCGAACCGGGGGAACUGAAACAUCUAAGUACCCCGAGGAAAAGAAAUCAACCGAGAUUCCCCCAGUAGCGGCGAGCGAACGGGGAGGAGCCCAGAGCCUGAAUCAGCAUGUGUGUUAGUGGAAGCGUCUGGAAAGGCGCGCGAUACAGGGUGACAGCCCCGUACACAAAAGCGCAUGUGCUGUGAGCUCGAUGAGUAGGGCGGGACACGUGGUAUCCUGUCUGAAUAUGGGGGGACCAUCCUCCAAGGCUAAAUACUCCUGACUGACCGAUAGUGAACCAGUACCGUGAGGGAAAGGCGAAAAGAACCCCGGCGAGGGGAGUGAAAAAGAACCUGAAACCGUGUACGUACAAGCAGUGGGAGCACAGGUUUACCUGUGUGACUGCGUACCUUUUGUAUAAUGGGUCAGCGACUUAUAUUCUGUAGCAAGGUUAACCGUAUAGGGGAGCCGGAGGGAAACCGAGUCUUAACCGGGCGUUAAGUUGCAGGGUAUAGACCCGAAACCCGGUGAUCUAGCCAUGGGCAGGUUGAAGGUUGGGUAACACUAACUGGAGGACCGAACCGACUAAUGUUGAAAAAUUAGCGGAUGACCUGUGGCUGGGGGUGAAAGGCCAAUCAAACCGGGAGAUAGCUGGUUCUCCCCGAAAGCUAUUUAGGUAGCGCCUCGUGAAUUCAUCUCCGGGGGUAGAGCACUGUUUCGGCUAGGGGGCCAUCCCGGCUUACCAACCCGAUGCAAACUGCGAAUACCGGAGAAUGUUAUCACGGGAGACACACGGCGGGUGCUAACGUCCGUCGUGAAGAGGGAAACAACCCAGACCGCCAGCUAAGGUCCCAAAGUCAUGGUUAAGUGGGAAACGAUGUGGGAAGGCCCAGACAGCCAGGAUGUUGGCUUAGAAGCAGCCAUCAUUUAAAGAAAGCGUAAUAGCUCACUGGUCGAGUCGGCCUGCGCGGAAGAUGUAACGGGGCUAAACCAUGCACCGAAGCUGCGGCAGCGAACGUAUCACUUAAAGCGAUUCAGCGGGUUACGAUUGACGGAGCGAAGCGACGUCAAAGCGUAUACAAAGUCGAGUCGGUUUAAGGAUACGUUCGUUGGGUAGGGGAGCGUUCUGUAAGCCUGUGAAGGUGUGUCGUGAGGCAUGCUGGAGGUAUCAGAAGUGCGAAUGCUGACAUAAGUAACGAUAAAGCGGGUGAAAAGCCCGCUCGCCGGAAGACCAAGGGUUCCUGUCCAACGUUAAUCGGGGCAGGGUGAGUCGACCCCUAAGGCGAGGCCGAAAGGCGUAGUCGAUGGGAAACGGGUUAAUAUUCCCGUACUUGGUGUUACUGCGAAGGGGGGACGGAGAAGGCUAUGUUGGCCGGGCGACGGUUGUCCCGGUUUAAGCGUGUAGGUGUGUGUUCCAGGUAAAUCCGGUUCACUUUAACACUGAGGCGUGAUGACGAGGCACUACGGUGCUGAAGCAACAAAUGCCCUGCUUCCAGGAAAAGCCUCUAAGCAUCAGGUAACAUCAAAUCGUACCCCAAACCGACACAGGUGGUCAGGUAGAGAAUACCAAGGCGCUUGAGAGAACUCGGGUGAAGGAACUAGGCAAAAUGGUGCCGUAACUUCGGGAGAAGGCACGCUGACACGUAGGUGAAGUGAUUUACUCAUGGAGCUGAAGUCAGUCGAAGAUACCAGCUGGCUGCAACUGUUUAUUAAAAACACAGCACUGUGCAAACACGAAAGUGGACGUAUACGGUGUGACGCCUGCCCGGUGCCGGAAGGUUAAUUGAUGGGGUCAGCGCAAGCGAAGCUCCUGAUCGAAGCCCCGGUAAACGGCGGCCGUAACUAUAACGGUCCUAAGGUAGCGAAAUUCCUUGUCGGGUAAGUUCCGACCUGCACGAAUGGCGUAAUGAUGGCCAGGCUGUCUCCACCCGAGACUCAGUGAAAUUGAACUCGCUGUGAAGAUGCAGUGUACCCGCGGCAAGACGGAAAGACCCCGUGAACCUUUACUAUAGCUUGACACUGAACAUUGAGCCUUGAUGUGUAGGAUAGGUGGGAGGCUUUGAAGCGUGGACGCCAGUCUGCGUGGAGCCGACCUUGAAAUACCACCCUUUAAUGUUU